AAUGGGGGCAACCCUGAUCCAGCCAUGCCGCGUGAGUGAAGAAGGCCUUAGGGUUGUAAAUCUCUUUCAAUAGUGAAGGUAAUGACGGUAACUAUAGAAGAAGCUCCGGCUAAAUUCGUGCCAGCAGCCGCGGUAAUACGAAUGGAGCAAGCGUUGUUCGGAAUCACUGGGCUUAAAGCGUGCGUAGGCGGACUUGAAAGUCGGGAGUGAAAUCCCAGGGCUCAACCCUGGAACUGCUUCCGAAACUCCAAGUCUAGAAUCCGGUAGAGGUCAGGAGAAUUCCUAGUGUAGAGGUGAAAUUCGCAGAUAUUAGGAGGAAUACCAGUGGCGUAGGCGCCUGACUGGGCCGGUAUUGACGCUGAGGUACGAAAGCGUGGGGAGCAAACAGGAUU
rnacentral:rRNA from 1 species